UUUAAAGCUAUAACCACCAAAUUUUUUGGAUACAAUAAGAAUAGCAGUACCUACUAUUGUUAUAAUCUUAUAACCAAGAAAAUAAUCAUGAGCCAUGAUGUUUUGUGUUGUAUUACAUAAAAACUAAUCUAAGAAAGUAAUAUGCAUUUGAUUGUAGAAGGAUUUGAACUUACCUUGAAAGUUGAUUUAUUAUCCAAAAUAAGAUAUAAGGUAUUUAGAAACAUCCUUUGGCAUUGUUGAAUAAUCUAAGUAAGCUUAUAAUUAUUUAAAGUAUAUCUUUUAAAUUUUAAAUAAACUUAAAUUUUUUUU
rnacentral:lncRNA from 1 species